rnacentral:rRNA from 1 species
GACGAACGCUGUCGGCGUGCUUAACACAUGCAAGUCGAACGGAAAGGCCCUGCUUUUGUGGGGUGCUCGAGUGGCGAACGGGUGAGUAACACGUGAGUAACCUGCCCUUGACUUUGGGAUAACUUCAGGAAACUGGGGCUAAUACCGGAUAGGAGCUCCUGCUGCAUGGUGGGGGUUGGAAAGUUUCGGCGGUUGGGGAUGGACUCGCGGCUUAUCAGCUUGUUGGUGGGGUAGUGGCUUACCAAGGCUUUGACGGGUAGCCGGCCUGAGAGGGUGACCGGCCACAUUGGGACUGAGAUACGGCCCAGACUCCUACGGGAGGCAGCAGUGGGGAAUAUUGCACAAUGGGCGGAAGCCUGAUGCAGCAACGCCGCGUGCGAGAUGACGGCCUUCGGGUUGUAAACCGCUUUCGCCUGUGACGAAGCGUGAGUGACGGUAAUGGGUAAAGAAGCACCGGCUAACUACGUGCCAGCAGCCGCGGUGAUACGUAGGGUGCGAGCGUUGUCCGGAUUUAUUGGGCGUAAAGGGCUCGUAGGUGGUUGAUCGCGUCGGAAGUGUAAUCUUGGGGCUUAACCCUGAGCGUGCUUUCGAUACGGGUUGACUUGAGGAAGGUAGGGGAGAAUGGAAUUCCUGGUGGAGCGGUGGAAUGCGCAGAUAUCAGGAGGAACACCAGUGGCGAAGGCGGUUCUCUGGGCCUUUCCUGACGCUGAGGAGCGAAAGCGUGGGGAGCGAACAGGCUUAGAUACCCUGGUAGUCCACGCUGUAAACGGUGGGUACUAGGUGUGGGGUCCAUUCCACGGGUUCCGUGCCGUAGCUAACGCUUUAAGUACCCCGCCUGGGGAGUACGGCCGCAAGGCUAAAACUCAAAGGAAUUGACGGGGCCCCGCACAAGCGGCGGAGCAUGCGGAUUAAUUCGAUGCAACGCGUAGAACCUUACCUGGGUUUGACAUGGAUCGGGAGUGCUCAGAGAUGGGUGUGCCUCUUUUGGGGUCGGUUCACAGGUGGUGCAUGCCUGUCGUCAGCUCGUGUCGUGAGAUGUUGAGUUAAGUCCCGCAACGAGCGCAACCCUUGUUCACUGUUGCCAGCACGUUAUGGUGGGGACUCAGUGGAGACCGCCGGGGUCAACUCGGAGGAAGGUGGGGAUGACGUCAAGUCAUCAUGCCCCUUAUGUCCAGGGCUUCACGCAUGCUACAAUGGCUGGUACAGAGAGUGGCGAGCCUGCGAGGGUGAGCGAAUCUCGGAAAGCCGGUCUCAGUUCGGAUUGGGGUCUGCAACUCGACCUCAUGAAGUCGGAGUCGCUAGUAAUCGCAGAUCAGCAACGCUGCGGUGAAUACGUUCCCGGG